rnacentral:rRNA from 1 species
AGAGUUUGAUCCUGGCUCAGGAUAAACGCUGGCGGCGUGCUUUAUGCAUGCAAGUCGAACGGUCUCGAUUUAUCGAGAUAGUGGCGGAUGGGUGAGUAACGCGUAAGUAACCUGCCCCUAAGUGAGGGAUAACUCUGAGAAAUCGGAGCUAAUACUGCAUGUGGUGAUGGGGGUAAGGCUCCAUCACUAAAGCCUUCGGGUGCUUGGGGAGGGGCUUGCGUCCGAUCAGCUAGUUGGUAAGGUAACGGCCUACCAAGGCAAUGAUCGGUAGCUGGUCUGAGAGGAUGGUCAGCCACACUGGGACUGAGACACGGCCCAGACUCCUACGGGAGGCAGCAGCAAGGGAUAUUGUGCAAUGGGCGAAAGCCUGACACAGCGACGCCGCGUGGGGGAAGAAGGUCUUCGGGUUGUAAACCCCUUUUCUCAGGGAAGAAUAAUGACGGUACCUGAGGAAUAAGUCUCGGCUAACUACGUGCCAGCAGCCGCGGUAAUACGUGGGAGGCAAGCGUUAUCCGGAUUUAUUGGGCGUAAAGAGGGCGUAGGUGGCUCUUCAAGUCGGAUGUAAAAUCUCCCGGCUCAACUGGGAGGGACCAUUCGAUACUGCUGGGCUAGAGUGCAGCAGGGGGAGGUGGAAUUCCCGGUGUAGUGGUGAAAUGCGUAGAUAUCGGGAGGAACACCAGUGGCGAAGGCGGCCUCCUGGGCUGUUACUGACACUGAGGCCCAAAAGCGUGGGGAGCGAACAGGAUUAGAUACCCUGGUAGUCCACGCUGUAAACGAUGGGCACUAGGUAUGGGGAGUAUCGACCCUCUCCGUGCCGAAGCUAACGCAUUAAGUGUCCCGCCUGGGGAGUACGGUCGCAAGACUAAAACUCAAAGGAAUUGACGGGGGCCCGCACAAGCAGCGGAGCGUGUGGUUUAAUUCGAUGCAACGCGAGAUCUUACCAAGCUUGACAUGUCGGAGUAGCGACCCGAAAGGGGAGCGACCUGUAGUCAGAGCGUCACAGGUGCUGCAUGGCUGUCGUCAGCUCGUGCGUGAGGUGUUAGGUAGUCUGUACGAGCGCACCCUGUGUCAGUAUUUCUCCUGGCGAGACUGCCUGCAAACGGGAGAAGUAGGAUGACGUCAGUCAGCAUGCCUUAUGCCUUGGGCCUACCACACGCUCAUGGGUGUCAUGGGGUGCCAUGAACGAUCCGGACUAUCUUUAAA